AUGCCACCAUGUCUGCGCUGCCAGCAUCUCAAACGCGGUAAGCGUCGCGCCGACAGAGACGAGGUGUGUGUCCCCAUAGCUCAGUCCAAGGAGCGCAGCAGAGUAAUAAGCAUUAACAGCCUCGCUCGUGCUCUCCUGGUUGCGCCCAUCGCCGAACUCUGUCAGUCCUCCGGCCCAGGAAUGCAGCUUCCAGAGAUCAAAAGUCCUCAGCCUGGUGUAGCUCGCACCGCACUUGCGGGACAAUGUCAUGAAAUCGGCAACCAUGGAGUAGGCCUGAGACAUGAACUUCCUUCCCCAGGAUGGAUCGAUCUUGGCAAGCACAGCAAUGGCAUACAGGAAGUAGCCCAAAUGGUAGUGGUGAUCGUUGUAGAUCCCGAAGCCAAAGUCUGCGCCGGAGUCCUGCAGCCCCUGCUUGGUGACAAGGCCGCCCCAUUUGGGAUCAUACAGGAAGCCAUUCCCCUGGAAACUGCCGUCCAGCCACGGCGUGACGGUGGCCUUCAAGAACCGAUGCACCGCGGGGAUGACAUCGGGGCACCCGACCUCCUCGGCGAUCAACGCCAGCCUCGCCGCCCUGGCAAUGGCCUUCCCGUAGAAGUAGGAGGAGGUGGUGGUGAUGGGGCUGGAAGCAAGGCUGUCAACGUCCUUGCGCAGCGCGGACACGACCUCGUCGACCCCGUCGUCGUUGACGCCCCGGGUGGAAUGCCAUGUUGGGGACAAGGGGUCGGUCUUGAGGACCCAGGAGUCGCCGACGACGCCGACCAGGUCCCCGUCGAUGCUCCGGUACUUGAAGUCGUCGAGCACCCGGACGGAGCAGUCGUCGGGGAGCAGCCGAAGGUGGAGCGGGUUGGCGAGCAUGAGCAGAUCCCCCCACCCCUGCUUGCGCCACGUGUAGUCGAUGCAGAAGGGGCGGUUGAGCGCGGCCUCCCCGGCCGUCGGGUAGCAGCGGCUGUACUGGUCGAGGACCGCCUCCAUGGCCGGGUCCGGCAGGUAGGCGAUCCGGAUGACGCCGGAGAACCCCGGCGCGGCCAGCUGCGUGACGCUGGCCUGCGACAGGGCGAUGGGCGCGGAGGCGUAGAGGAGGAAGGUCUGGCCGCUGUUCAUCCGGAGGCGCCACUUGGUGCGCGCGUCGUCGCAGGGCGCGGCCUCGAGGAAGGCGUGGACGGAGGCGACGGAGACGUCGACGGGCCCCGCGGCCUCGGCGGUGGCGACGGUCUGGAUGUCGAAGGCCGGGGAGUGGCUGCGCGCCGGGUAGCAGAGGGUGAGCCCGGCCGCGGCGGAGCGGACGGAGUAGGGGUGGAUGUACUCGGGCUGGUCGCCGUUCUUGAGCGUGAAGUUCUGGAAGAAGCAGUUGGUGGGGAGCGGCGCGGAGAGCAGGCCCGGCGCGAAGAAGCGGGCCGGGUCGGGCAGCACCGUGGACGCGGCCUGCGGGAAGACGUGGCCGCCCGGGGCCGGCGGCGCGGGGCGGCGCCCGUGCGGCGGCAUGGCCGGCUGCGGCGGGGGCGGGGGCGGGUGAGAUGA
rnacentral:rRNA from 1 species